rnacentral:ribozyme from 1 species
AGGACAUGUCUUCGUUUGGUUUCCUAUUUUUCCCUCCUUCUUGUACGUUUUGCUGCUUCCGUCUGUUUUUCUUGCUUUCUCUACAGAAGGAAAAGCGGAACAAGGAUGUGUCGCCAGACAUUCUGAUGUGCAACCUUGAAAGAAGGAAGAAGGAAGGAGAAACAUCGUCCCAUCAGGAGGAUGUCAAAAAGAAAAUAGACGAAAUUCCUGUUCUUUUAUUACAUGUAUCACUUGAGAAAAA